CUGGUGGCUGACUGGGAAAAUCCGAUUGGGGAGGAGCUGAUUCAGCAAGGGUAGGAGGGUCAGAAAACCUGAGGGCUACUAAGGCUACAGCUCAAAAAGUCCGAGGUGUCUGUGACACACUAGCAAAGAUAUACUGGGCAGAAAAGUCAAGGCCAAGGAGAAAUGCCCGGAAUCUUCAGCAUGGAAGGCGUGCUGUGCUGAAUACAGGCAGGAUCUCUGGGGAGUAGGUGCCACAGAAAAGAGGACCAAGGACAAAGCUGGCGAAGGCAAGAAAAGGUCAAGAACAAGCGCACUUCCAGGAAGGGAGAGGAUGAAGAACAGAGAGGACAGUUUAGGGCCAAAGGAAACGGGGAAAAGAGGAGCAACCACAGGACCCGCUGCUCCCUGCCGUAGGGUGCCGGGUUUAGCAAAUGCAAGCGUAAUGAGCAGUGAGAACGGAACUUCAGACGGAUAGCACGUACUUUUUAGAGUACUUUCUCAGUGCUGUAUCUGGGGCAUACAUUUUCCCAAUUCUUCAUUAUGUAUCUGAAAUUCGAUAAAGACAGAUGGCGCAAGAACGCCAACUCCUAAAAUAAACCUGAGCUUUUUACACUCGGCCGGUCUGGAUGGACGUCACCCGGGGAGAAGCUGACUCGACCCUAACCGGAUAUCGUUACUGAAGAAACAGCCCCUGAGAACCCGGGAGAAAUGCGUUGGAUUUUAUCAUUUGGAAGUGUGUACUGAUCCUUUCUGGCUGACUUCAACAAAGAAGAAACACUUGAUUUUGGCUGCUGAUAAAGUAAUCAAUAUAUGAAGGAUACAAUUUUCCGAUCAAAAUUUCUGAUUGGACAUGUAUUGGCUACCCUGAGAGAGAUGAAAAUUGCUACAGCAACAGAAGUAAUUAUCAGCAUCUUGUCAUCUUGUGACCAUAAGGAAGUUUAGUCCAAAGACACAGUCAGCAUCCUGGAGAUGGUAAGGCCGAGAUACAGACAGACCUCGGAUCCCACAUGACAUCUCUGAGCUCCUGAACGUACCAACCAACUUCACAGACCUUUUGGAAUAGAAAAUCUCUCUGAUCAAACCAGAAAGAGUAAACAUGAGGAGGACGCACCUCAUCUCAUAGACACACCCUCUGUCCUGGAAGAUCUCUGAAAGAAUGUACUUAUUUUUAAAUAUCUCAGCAUCUUUCACUAAAGAGAUACAUACGGUUAAACCCCAGCUCAGCAGCUAAUAACAUGACCUUCACAUCUUUUUAUCUUUGUCUGCAAGAUGAGUGUGUUGGGUUUUCUAAGGCAUCUUCCUCAUUUAUAAGUUAAAGUUUAUUUACACGGACUGGACAUUUAUUUCACUUGGUAUCUCCUU